GAUGAACGCUGGCGGAGUGCCUAACACAUGCAAGUCGAGCGGCAGCGCGAGUAGUUUACUACUUGGCGGCGAGCGGCGGACGGCUGAGUAACGCGUGGGAACAUGCCCCAAAGUGAGGAAUAACUGCCCGAAAGGGUAGCUAAUGCCGCAUACGAUCUUCGGAUUAAAGGAUUUAUCCGCUUUGGGAGUGGCCUGCGUACGAUUAGAUAGUUGGUGAGGUAAUGGCUCACCAAGUCUACGAUCGUUAACUGGUUUGAGAGGAUGAUCAGUCAGACUGGAACUGAGACACGGUCCAGACUCCUACGGGAGGCAGCAGUGAGGAAUCUUCCACAAAUGGACGAAAGUCUGAUGGAGCAACUCCGCGUGCAGGAUGAAGGCCUUGGUCGGUAAACUAGCUUUA
rnacentral:rRNA from 1 species